rnacentral:sRNA from 1 species
AUGGGUCCUAUCACGCUAUCCGCCGAUGUCAAAAGCUCUUCAGUUUCAGUUGCUUCAUCAGGUAACCCCGUUUCCUCAAUAUCUUUAUUUAUUGUUUAAUACUAUAUGAUUUUCCAAUGUUAAUGUGUUCCUUUUUUUUUUUUAAUUUUUAUGUUGAUAAAGUUAAUGUAAAUGUGUUCAGUACUAUGAUGUUAAUUACAUAUAUUUCAUGACAUCAUGUGAAUUGUCACGUUGUUGUUGUUUUUUUUUUUUAAUUUUUUUUUAUUCCUUCUAAUGCCCACUAUAUUGUACAUUGAUAAAUUAUUAUUUGUGUCCCAAAAGCCUUGGUCCAUAGUAAAUGGUGAAUUUCUACUUGAAAUUGUUGAAGUGGUUGACUGCGAGUGGCAGAGAAAAUUUGGCGAGUCCAUGAGUGUUAAUUGUGUCCACCACUAGCAGUCGUAGAAGAUAAAUUGGCAACAUGGUUUGGACUAAGGAUCAAAUGUCCUAAUACCAUGAUAAACUAUCAUUUGUCGUAAGGCGCCAGCGGAUAGGAAAUUUAAUCACUUAAUUAUUAUUCUAUUUAUAAAUUUUGUUCAACCAUACAUAUUCUUCUUCUAAAGGGUCUAUAUCGGUAAUUCGUUUAAGUUAAGCCAUUUGCAUAAAUUUCAAGAUUUUUAUAAACCUCAACUUCUUGAUAGCAUUGAUUUGCAUGAGUAAGACAUAAACUGCUACAACAAAGGUUGUGUAAUUUGCAAUUUUUCCCCCCUCAAUCACCUUCAGAACACUCAAGUCGAGGGAAUGAAAAAGGGCAGAGGAAGACCUACAAUAACAUUAAUUAACAAGUUGUAUUGGUUGCAAAUUUCUCUUAAGCCAGUUGUGGUUUUUGGCCAAGCCAGAACUUUUUGAUACCAUUGACUUACACAAGUAAUACCUAGGCAUUACAACAAAAGUUGUGUAAUAGAGAGUAUGACUUCAGAUAUAAUAGAAUGGUCAAACAAUAUACAUGUAUUUGACCCCAACUAGUAUGUUAAGGAUCCAUAGUCUACCCCAAAAUUUUGGGACUUAAGGCUUGGUUGUUGUUCACCAUCAAACCUAUGUAUAUGUGCCUGUGUGGGCUAAAGACAAUAGAUGAUAUGAAGAAUACCUUAAACUAUGUUUUUGUAAUCAUUGAAGAAUACCCACUUCUUAAAGUAAAUGUUUAAAUUUAUGUAUGAUGUGGAUGACCCCUUUAAAUAACAAAUUCAGAUUAUUGUAAUAUACAAGAUUCACAAUAAUCUUCUCCCAAUUCAGCUAGAAAAGAACAAGGUGCGAUAGAAAAUAAUUUCCUUAUUCAUGAUUCACUUGAGUUUUAUUAGAGAACGUGUAAGCCGGCCAUAUACACAGGGUACUGCUUUUGAGAACUUGCACUGUCAAUUAGCUAUGUGCCAUUAGGGAAGAUUUUUAUCCACUUCAAAUUUACGGGAAAGUCCCAAUUGGGAUCUCAUAUUUUUGUACAAUUUUACCUAUUGAUGUGGAUACCUUUUUAAAAAAAAAUUAUGUAUAUUACCUUAGUGACAUUUUUUGUACUCUAUUCCUUCUUCUUCCUCUUUUUUACAAGGUGAUAUGCUCUUGCAGAUGCAUGUAACAAGAAAAUGCGGAACUCAAUGCUGGAAAGAAGAAAGCCUUUUGCAUCAGUCAGUACGGGAGAAGAAAAGCCGUUUGACUUUUUUCGUACUUUAUUUGGUAUGGCUCAAAAUUGAUGUUGAAGAUUGAUAUUGGCAAGGGUUCAAGGUGUUGAAUGUUUUGGUGUUAACUAAGAAUAAGAGUUUUUUUUAUUGGUAUAUUACACGUGCACUCACUCGGUCUUGAACCCAUGACCUCACCCUCCCCUAAUACUUAUAGGGGAAAGAGGUGCCAGUUGAUCUAGAACUCAUUGGCAUUGACUAAGAAUGAUACUGACUCUCAAACUUUUAGUUGAUUAAUAUUUUGAAGGACCUCUAAUUUAAAAUGUAUCUUUAUGAAACCAAGUUUAAAUUGGGAAGAAUUUGUUGUGCAGGUAACAGUUAGAUUCUUGUAAAACUGACAGCAAAUUUUAAAAAGGUUCAAUUACAGGUAUUGGACAUGGUAUUCUUUUGCCAACCUAGGAGAAUAAACAUAAAUUAUGAAUAACAUUUAUUUUCUCAAUCAGUGUAGGAAUGGUUUUCUAUAUUAUUCGCAAUAAUUUUUUCUUGAGAGAACAUGGAAAGCAUGUGUAAGGCCGUAGCCCCUAGGGGUUGACUGGAGGGAACCCCAAAGGCCUUUGCUUUCCUAGACUUUGGGAUAGAUAGAGGAGGGGGGAACAUUUGCUUCUUCCAUGCUAUCAAUUUCUUUGAAUACUUUAAAUGGACAACUUGCCAGUGCAAAUAAAUUUAUUGCAUGCACUGUUCAGAUUCUAAGUAGUCUGGUGGUUAAUUUUACAGAGGGUUUUAUAGCUGGUGGUACAGCUGGUGUCGUUGUGGAGACAGCUUUAUACCCCAUUGAUACUAUAAAGACGCGGCUGCAGGCAGGUUAAUUAUGCAUAUUAAGUUAUAGUCAAUGUUUAAUAAGAAAUCUAUUUUACCAGGUUUUUGGUGAUUGACUGAUGUCAAAUGCUAAGUUCUUGGUACUCUUCCAAUUGUUGCACAGAUGUGGGCUCAACCUCGCAAUCACUAAGAUAGAAUUUUGAAUUUCUCUUUGAUAUUUUCAGCCAUUGAUUAUAUGAUUUUGAUUUUCUCUUUGUCUAUACAUAGAAGAAGAAAACAUUGUUGUACAAAGUUAGGUUGCCCACUUUAGAAAAAACACAGAAAUUACAUCUUCUUAACUACUAGUAGCUCACAUCUAGAGAGCUCUUUGAUUUCAUGUGUUCUUUUCUUCUUUGGAAGGUAAAAGCUUGAGAUAAAUACCUUACCUUAGGCUCUCAGUUUUUUUUUUAUUUGAUUUGGGGGGGGAUUUGCCUGAGUCUGAUGUGCAGAAGGUACCUAUACCAAAUAGCAAAAGGGGGUAUAUUGUUAAUUAUGAUUUUAUUAUUCCAAGGUUUUUCUUUCCUCCAGAAUUUCUUGACCAAAGUGUUUCUAAAUUUAAUAUUUUUUUUUUUUUUUUUUUUUUUUUUGCAGGCUGCACGUGGUGGUGGAAAAAUAAAUUUGCAGGGCCUUUAUUCUGGAUUGGCUGGAAAUCUUGCUGGUGUCUUACCGUAAGUACUUUUUGAAGUGCAUGACUUCCUAAAUUUCUAGGAUUCCUAACUUCAUAUGUCAGUAUCCAUGUUUGUUCUUGCCAAGAGCCUUGUAGCUCAACAGGCACAUCUUGGUGUUUCCAAUAGACGCAUCUAGGGUUCAAGUAUCCCUGCCCCCAACUAUAGAUGUAUAUAUAAAAAAAAAAGUAUCCAUGUUUGUUCUUAUAGCUCCCUUUUUAUGUUACUUAUGAACUGAUCAUGCACAAUAGAAAACUGAUCCCAGUUUUGAAGCUGGAAAUGACUCAAGUUGUGCUCUUCAGACAUGUUUGUUUGUUUUCUGAUUGUCAUGAAGUUUCAUUUUUAGUAAAAAUUAAAAAUGCUUCCUGAUACAUCUAUAAAUUUUCACUGAAUGUGUCAUAAGUGUGAUUGUCAUCAAUCUCCUAGGGCUCCAAAUUUUCAAUAAUGUAAUGGAUUCUCAACAAUUCAGACCAUCAAUCUUCUGCAGACUUUCUAAACCUCUAAAUUCUUAUUUGUCAUCCUUAGAGAGAGUUUUAAUUCAUUAAGUUCAGCAUGAAUAUUAUGGAACGAACAUCAUCAUAAGAUAGAAUAUUAACUAUAUAAAGUAUGCCUUUCUGUCUCCCCCAUCCCCCUUUUCUUGAACUCACUCUGCUUUCUCACUCAAUAGCAUCGUUUGAAUUUUUGUUUUUGAAAGGGUGUUCUGGUUUUGCAUCCAUCUUUUUUGGUCUUUAUAUGUGAUGGUUGAUAGCUUCUAUGUACCUCUUCAAACUGCUUAUUGAUUCAUUACACCUGUAAAUAUAUAAUGUAGAAGUAAUUUCAUCAUCUUGACUCCAUGUUCAGUAUAUAUUAGGAAACACUUACUUUGCGUGAUGUUGGUAUUGUGAUUCAUCUUUUACAUUUCUGGACCAAUUCUACAAUGUCACUGUUGCAAGAGGACUACUUUCCUACUAUGCUUGUAGAAUUAUUUGUAUCAUCACAGCUCAAUAUUGAUUAUAUUAGGAAAUGGUUACAUCAAUGAUGGCUUUUAAAUGCUCUAUUUUUUUUACAUUUCUGGUCUUAUUUUUAUGAUGUCGCUUGCAUAUGAGGACCGCUUUCCUGAAGUGAGCUAUUGACAGUCAAUUGAACUUAGCAUUUGGUAAAUUUCUUUCAUUAAAAAUUGAGAUAAACUAUUAGCUACUUUAGCUUUUGCUUCGUGAUUCUUGAUGUGCAUGAAACAUGUAGCAAUGUGAGGUGCGGUUCAAGGUAGUAGUUCUUACAUUUCCUCUGCUUUUUCUGUGUCCCCCCUUGGGUGGGGGGUAAAAAAUCUGUUAUGGUAUUUUUCCAUCUCAUGAAGUCCCAAUGUUAUGAUUAUGAUGGCAUAUUCCUCUUUGCUUUAUUAGGUGUUUUUCCCUCUCUUGUUUAGGAUGCCCCUUCUAUGAAGAGAGGAGUCUUGGUAUAUUAUUGUCUCUAAUUCUUCACAAUUUUGUGUGGAUUUUAGGCAUACAGAUGUCUCUCAAUCUUGAUGAAUCUAAUGCUUCCUAGCCAUUAAUUAAUCAUUAAUCAUAACUUGAAGAAAGUUAAUAUGAUUUCACUGGUUGGUAAUAAAGGUGUUGCAAAGGAAGAAGGAUACUUAGGAUGAAUGACUUGUGAAUAAAUAACAUAUUAUUAUUUGGGUAUAGUUAUUUGAUUGACUAUGGUCCUCUGCCAUUCAACUUCCUUUCCCCUUUUUCUUUUCAUGAGAGGUCUUGCUGAUAACCUUCCAAACUGCUUAUGCCGAGUCUGGUCACAGAAUCAUAAGAGAAAAAUAUGCAAAUGCUAAGGUGCUGUAAGCUGUCUAACAUAUGUUAUCGUAGAAGAACCGCAGAUUGUUAAAUAGUUAUGUAUAGGCUUCUUAAUUAUCAAAAACAUUAUGUAUAGGCUUCUUAAAAAAAGGGCAUAACAACCUUUUAAAUCUGCAUACUUUUAAGGUAAAAGAUGAUGAAAUUUAAUCAUUAUUAUUCAAGCAAAUGUUGGAAGCGGGUGGAAAGGCGUGUCGUGUUGGCUAGUGUGACACACCAGUUUUAUAAUAAAAGUGUCUGCAAGCUGUAGUUAUCAAAACAUCUUUUUUCCCUUACUUUCUUAGGGAGUUGUUUGCUCUAAGAAAAGGAUAUCUCUUUGUAGCAUCCAAGUUGUAUUGAUAAUCUUCUUUUAUGUGCAGGGCUUCUGCUGUAUUUGUUGGUGUUUAUGAACCUACAAAGCAGAAAUUGUUAAAGUUGUUUCCUGAAAAUCUUAGCGCUGCAGCUCAUUUGGUAAGAGCUUCUUUAAUUUCCUAUUAUCAUGAAUAUAUUGGUUUGGCUUGGGCACAUGACCAAUGAGCAUCUUCUCAACUUAUUAUUUACCAUGACCUCUCCUAGACCCUGCAAAUGUGGGAGCUUUGUGCAGUGGAUAUGACCUUUUAAGACUUGUCGCAACACAAUGAUUGUUACUUAUGAAGGUGUUAGUAUAUUAUGUUAGUUGAAGCCCCAAACACAUUUUUGUUAAACAACCUCUAACUUUCUAACACUUUCACGAUGGGACCAGAGCCUGUUCUAGUUAAUGAUCUAAAAUAACUGUUUCAUUAGCCUGUAGAAAAUCGAGAUACAUGCCCUGUCUUUAGUAAACUUCCUGAAUUUGUUUGUUGCUUGAUACUAUAGCUGAUAGUUUGACCGUGUAAACUGCUCUGGUUGUUGAACUUUGUGUAGACUGCAGGGGCUGUAGGAGGCAUGGCUGCUUCUCUCAUUCGUGUUCCAACAGAGGUAGGUAACUUUUUACAUCCAUUUCAAUAUAUUUAAAUGCUUUACGAACCCCCUUUUUUACCCUUUCAACUCCUCAGGUUAUUAAGCAAAGGAUGCAGACUGGGCAAUUUACUUCAGCUCCUGAUGCUGUCCGCCUUAUUGUCUCUAAGGAGGGCUUCAAAGGACUGUAUGCAGUGUGUAUCCUACCCCCACCCCCACCCCCUACCACCUCCAUUUCCUUUUUUGAAAUUUCUUUUGACACUAUUCAAGUACCCCUGCCUAUAAUAUUAUGGAAGAAUUUCUUAUUCUUGGUUAAGGAUCUAAAGGGUUCUUUCUAAGAGAGAAUACACCUGUAUUGUUGAGUGACUUCUCAUGUGUUAAAUGUGGCAUUAAUAUGUGACCUGCAUGCCCUCUCUCCUUUUAAUUUUGCAACUUUUUGUUGUUGUUUUGUUUGCAUACGUGACAUUCAUUGUUGAGAUUGCAGGGCUAUGGAUCUUUCUUACUACGAGAUUUGCCAUUUGAUGCUCUUCAAUUUUGCAUCUAUGAACAACUUCGGAUAGGUUAUAAGGCAGCGGUAAGAUCUUCACCAUGUAGCAUUUACUGUUAACACAUUUUGGAAGAAUUUGUUUUCACUUUAUGUUUUUCAUUCCCUCUCUGAGCGUCAGUGUUACAUGAAAUACUGAAUAUGUGUGAUGCUUCUAUUCCAAUGCCAUUGUAAUUUCUCUGAUUGCAAGAUGCUGUGUUACUUUUAACGCCCCUCUAUAGACGUUUUGUCUCUGUAGCAUGAAAUCUAGUGUUUGGAGUCCCUUUCACAAUAACCUUUGAGUUUUACCUGCAGUAGAAAGUAUAUUAAGGUUUAGCUGUGUCGAGUUUAGAAGUUUUUAUUUAUUUUAUUUUAAAAAAAAAUUCAUAGGGAAGAAAUGAUGUGCAGGUACAGCUAUAUACUUAUCCGGUUAUCCGGGAAAAAAUAAUGUAUAGCGAUAUACCCAAAAAGUUUCCCAAAACUGAUUUUUAAUUGUCUAUCUAUGAAAUCAUACAUAUUUGAUGGUCUACUACCACCAAAAGACAUCCAAUAGCAAAGGGACCCAACAAAUUGGGAUUUAAACCUCUCUGUAGUUAGAUCCUGACUCCUGACUGUCAAAGGUCCUCCUGUUCCUCUCUGUCGGAGUUCUCUUGAACUUGAACUUGGUUGACUCAAGUUAAGUUGGGAUUAGCUAAAGUAGUUAAAGAAGGCAUAGGGAGCCCUUUUACUUGUGCGGGGUUAUGUAAGAUGAUUUAUUCUGUACCAAAUAAAUGAAUUAUCUCAAAUUAAACUAAGCUUAGCUUACUACAAAUUGGCAAGGAUUUUGCCAUUCAAACAUUUUUUUUCAAACCAAAAGGAUUGUGCAUAUUUCUCAACAUUGUCUAUAAAUAUGUACUAUCAGGACCUACCUCUGCUAUUUGAUGCAAAAAUUUAAGGUACAGCCCAUUUCCAAAAAGCUAAAAAAUAAGUUGUAUCAUUUCUCUCUCACUCUCUCUCUCUCUCUCUCUCUCUCUCACACACACACACACAUACAAACACCCCCACCCACUGAUAGCAUGGUAGCCCUGCUAGUGUGCAUGCUGUUGUGCCUAGCAUUCACAAGGGGUUAGAUGUCUUAAGCUAGUGAUCAUUGACUAUUUAUCCUUAUUUUAUUUUAUUUUAUUUAUGAGGAUGAUUGAUAAUUUCAACCUGUUUUUAUUUUUUCCAGGCACAGAGAGAUCUAAAUGAUCCUGAAAAUGCCAUCAUUGGUGCUUUUGCUGGUAAGAAGACAUUUAAAUCAUGUUUCCCAUAUGCUUUCAUUUCAAAUUAGUCAUUCAUCUACCUUACAUAUGGAUUGAGAACUUUAUAUUUUUCCAUCACUCUGAGAAGGGCAAGGCAAAUCCAUUCCUUGUUAGUGUCUCUCAUCAAAGAUGUUUUAUUCAAAUGAGAUUUUUGGUUGCUUUCAUCAAAGACGGUGUAUUCAAAUUUAUAUAUGCAUGAGCAUGUAUGUGCGUCUUUGAUGCAGGACAAAAACGAGACAAAAAUUAAAGAAUAGAAUAUAAAGGAUACGUAGCCUAAAAGUCAGUACCUAGGUCCUAGGCUUGCUUGAAGUCAGCACUAAGCAAGAGAAAACCUCUAAGAGUCAGUAUUGGGGUUAGUUGGAGUCAACACCAGGCCAUUGGAAGAUUUGAAGAAAGAUUUUAUUCAUCACAAAAAAUCUCUGCCCUUAGAAGUAUGUCCAUAGGAGCAUAAUACUAUGCUUAUGUAGAAUAAUAGCUUCCAAUUCUAAUUGACAUAGGCAAACCCUAAAUCUAAUUCUAAAUGACUAGGGAAAUCCCAAUAAUUGAAGUAUAAAAUAAAAAAUAAAAAACCUUGACUCUAGGACAUUAAAUAAAAAUACUGAUAAGCCUAAUUAACAACUUUUUUUUUUGAUAAGUAAUAGAUUCAUUGAAAUCAAAAAGAGAGGAGCACCGAAGUACAUAGGGAGUAUACAGGGGGGAACAAAUCAAAAACGAACAUUACAAAAAUCAAGAAAAUCCAAAAUAGAAGAAAAAGGAUGGUUUCUCCACACAGAAAACCAAUCAAGUAAGGUUCUAAAAAAAAGAAGCUUGAGAUCAGGCAUGGAACGCUCCUUGUCUUCAAAACAUCUACUAUUUCUCUCCUUCCAAAUACACCACAUCAAACAAUGAGGAACAACCAUCCAAAGAUCUCCAUUACGGUGGCGACCAAAACGACCUUGCCAGCAAGCCAAAAGCCCAACAACAGAGAAAGGCAUAACCCAACAAACUCCAAAAAGCCCAAAAACCAUAUCCCACAACUCUAGAGCAACCGUGCAAUGAAGGAAAAGAUGGUCAAUAGUUUCACUAUUACACUUGCACAUGAAACACCAAUCCAAAAUGCAAAAUUUUCUUUUCCUUAAGUUGUCAAUAGUCAGACAUUUCCCCAAGGCUGCUGUCCAAAUAAAGAAAGCCACUCUAGAGGGGAUCUUCUGCUUCCAAAUGCUUUUCCAAGGGAAAAACUGCUCACUAUGGCCAGCUAGGAGAUGGUAGUAAGCACUUACCGUGAAUCCCUUACUCUUACAAGGCAGCCAACAACUCUUAUCCUCCCCAAUCCCCCUUACAGGGGUGCAAUAAAUGGAAUUGAUGAAACUCGUGAAAGCUUCCAAUUCACGGUUAUGCACCUCCCUACGGAACUGAAGAUCCCAGUGAAGAACUCCAUUGGUGAACUUCAUAAGAUCCCCUACACUUGCCUCUUUGUUGCAACAAAUCCUAUAUAAAUCAGGAUAACGGUCUGCAAGGGGAGAAGAUCCACACCAACGAUCAAGCCAAAACUGCACUUUUGAUCCAUCUCCAAUUUCAUAUAGAAUAAACCGAGAUAAGGAAUGCCACCCUCUUCUAAUAUUUUUCCACAAACUAACACCAUAAGGACCAGAUAUGGGGAGGUUGUAUUCUAAUGAAUUGGGAAGUUUUUUUUUUUUUUUUUUUUUUGUCAGCAAACCGUCUUCUUUUCCGUGCAGAGAUUGUAGUGUGUGUUACCUUUCUCCUAGGAAGUGCGGACACUUCAUUUAGGGGGCCGUGCCCAUGUUGUAUCCGUGUCUUACCUGUAUCAUACCAGAGUUGUAUCCGUCAUUUCGUGUUAUAAUUUUUCAGAAAUUGCUCAUUUCAUACCCGUACCCAUGUUAGUAUUCAUGUCUGUGUCCGUGCUUGCUAGCUUUUCUCUUUUGUAUAGAUAUUAGACUCAUUUGCAUCAUGAUUAUGGUUGUUUAGGUGAAAGGUGGAUCUAUAAAAUGUUUGGCUAGUAGUUUCUUUGUGGCACACAGAUGCUCAAUUACUCACAUACGUGAUAUUAGGCAUGUUUGUUAUGACAUAGAUGCCCAUGCAUAUCUGUUAAUGUAUGCCGUUUUAUAAUUGUUGGGUUUCAAUUUUCAUUCAGAGAUAUUUUUAAUGAUUUGAAGCGUCACAAGGAUGAAGAUCUUCUUAAGGGUCAGGCAGUGAAGAAUCAAAAGGUGUGGGUUUUACAGAUUCAGUCAACAGUUUUCCUUCCUUUGGUUGUAUCAGCUUUUUCUUUUUCUCUUAAAAAUAUUGUUCUUGACUGUUACUUUCCUUUCUUAAUAAUUAUACUCUUUGAAGCAAUUAGUUUAUUCUUUACACCAUUUCCCUCUCUUGUGAGUGUGGUUAAACAUUGAUACACUUCUUUCCCCUUUUUCCUGAAGGCUCUCUGGGACAAAGCUUUGGAGCUCAGAUUGUUAGUUCAGAAAGCAUUCUCAAGUGCAAAUAGAUUACCCCAGGUCUUUUUUUGGUAGUUUACUCUUAUUUAACUUAAUUCUAGCUCUUUAAUAUCUAAAUAUAGUGGCUAAAGAUGAUGGAUUGUCUGCAGGAGCCCAUUAGGUCUUCAUUCUGUAAUUCAGAUGAGGGUGUCAAUACAGCAUAUUCAGACCUCAUUACCUCAUCUAAGAAUACUUUAGAUUCCCUAUUGGAACUACAAGAGGUAUGGCUGUUUGGGAAUUUUUUAAUUAUUUUUACGUACUUGAUAUACAUUCAUUUAGCUCCAAAGAAUAUGACCAGCAGUUGAUGCUUUAUUUUGGCCUUAUAAAUUUUUCUGUCAAUAUAUUUUCGCUGUUCAUCUUGUGAUAAUUCUUUUCUGACAGGCUUUGCUUGAGAAGAAUCCUUCUGUUGCUGAAUCCUCAGAUGGUAUGGAACAAGUUCUCUCUGUAUUGUAUUAUUUGGUUUUCUACUCACCUGGCACUGUGUAUGAAAAAUUUUCCAUUUUGCUAGAUUCUAUUUUCUAAAUUUAGAGUUCCUUAUCAUACUUUUUAUCUCUCAAAGAGUUUAUAAUCUCUGUACAACAAAGUCAGAUAUUAUGAAUAGAGAAGACUAUACCAAAUGCUAUUCCUUUGAUUUUUAUUGUUUUUUCUUUUUCCUGCAAGGGUUCUGAUAUUUCCAAUUUUCUUUUGCAAUCUUUCUUCAACAUAAAGCUAAUGAUAAAUGUUGACUGAAUUUUAAAGCCAGCAAGAGCUUGUCAGUGAGGCUUAAGACUUAGUUUGCAUAGUUCUAUUGCUUGCUUUAGUUUCAGGCUAUGAAUUUUUUGCAUGAUUACUCUUCAAGAAUAAACUACGUAUGUGCAUGAAAAGUUUUUGAUUUAGCUUGCUUAUCCUAACAAGGUUUCUCUUCUUAAGGUAAUUCUGAAAGAUCAUCCAAGCAUUCAGAAGCUUCUAAAAACUCGAAUGUUGAAGGUGACGAAGACUGGUCAAGGGUUUCUCAAUUGCAUUUGAGGUACUUUGAUCAUCCUCUAGAUGUGCUUAUGAUCUGUUGAACAUUGAACUCAUCCUUUUUUUUUUUUUGUAAAAAGUAGGAAAUAAAGUUUUUGAAUUCUUCAUCCAAUACCAAUGAGUUGGGUGACAUACUUAGCUAGACAUAACAACAGCCUCUUUCUGAUGAUGAUGAUAUGUUCAAGUGAGCUGGAACUGUGCUUGUGGGGGGCUGUUACUAGCCUGUUAGUCCUUUUUUCAUUCUUUUAUACUGCCUUCAUUAUUUGUAUUUUGUUAUUAAUAUUAUGGAGGUUUCCGUGAAUGUAUCUUUUUUGGGAUAUAUAAACAUUAUUGAGAUUGAAAACCUAGAGGAGGAAAAUCCUGGUAUUGGAGCAGAAUUGUCUCUGUUAAGUUGGUAAUAGUUUUAUUUGUUCUUAUGGUUUUUGUUUUCAACAACCUGAUUUCAAUUACCUGUUUUAUAAAAAAAAAAAAAUCCAAUUACCUGUCUUAAUCUUGGUAAAGUACAUGUUAAAAGUAAUGUUUACACUUUACAUACCCAUGUUUCAUGCUUUAUUGCCUUUUUUUAGUUCUGUUGUAUAUCUAUCACUGUAUCACAUCAUCUUUGCAUGCAUUAAAAGCCUACUAGUGCAAUUAAUUUCUUAAUUUGGGCAUUGACUGUAUUAUUCAUGUUUGUAUCCUUUAGAAUAGCUUCCUUCAGAGACAAAUCAAUAGACAAAUGGCAGAGGAAGACAGAGGUGGCAACUGGUGCUGCUGCUAUUAAAGGAAAAUUGCAUGCUUUUAAUCAGGUUAGGCCUUAUGACUGGGUUGAUUACUAUGCCCAUAAGGUGUAAAACAGGCUCACUAAAUUCUUCUAUUCCAUACACAGAAUAUUAGUGAGCAAGUUGCUGAUUAUAUGAGAGAUCCAAGUAGAAUGCUCAAGCAGAUGCAACUGAGGAGAUCAACAGUCAGUGUAUUUGGGACUGUAAGAUAAUCUCUCUUUCUUUCUUCUUCUUUUUAUUUUAUUUUUUUAUACUUAAGAGAGAAUGUAUAUUUACACUCAAAUUAAAGCCACACACACAUGUAGAUUAAAUGGACAAGGUAACAUAAAAAUUAGCCUAUUUGACAUUUGUAUUCUAAUACCUGGCAUGUUGAUGGCAGGAUCCUGACAGGGAGAAUAGCAUUAAGGGAGAGGUAAUCCUACUUUUGUGAGUCUACUUGAGUUGAUUAUACAAUGUUCAUUUUGAUUCCAGAACCCCACCUGAGAGCAAAACUAUGGAAAUUUGUUCAAAUAUCAGAUUAUCUAAAAAUAAAAUCUUUCUCGUACGUGUGCUUGUGUGUCUAAGAGAGUGAAUAUUGGGUUGCAUUUGAAGGUACCAAAUCACUGUCUAAAAUGGACUAUCAUGGCAAACAGAACCAUUAACAUUGAAGUUAAUUUUGGGAUACUCACAGACAACCUCCAAUGUUUUGUGUCACUCAUGGUGUUGGCUUCAAUCUUUGCAAUAGUGCACUCUGUGGGUUGAUUUGUGCUUUCUAAUGCUAAGCACAUUGGAUAGUCCAAUCUCCUUCAAAUAUGCCUUCAGAAUGCCAAAAUACUUUUUAGGUAUCUUGUUAUGGUCGGAAAACAAGAUAAAUAGGCAAUAUAAACAGAAAUGGUUGCUGCUGGUUCUUUCUGGGAAAAGAGUUGGGUUUGCAUGGGUACCAAAUCUAAGUGCUUGUUUGGGAGAACUUAUUUUCAUUGGUUUAGUGGCUUAAAAAAUGAGCUGGGCAAAAGUAUAGUUGUACUUAGAAAGCAUAGAACUUAUAAAGUUGUACAUGAACAAAAUAAGCUGAACAAACAACUUAAUAUUAAUCCACCACUCAUCGAAAUGGACAAUUAUUAUAACUUAUGAUUUAAAGAAAAGAUCAAUAAGAUUUAGUAAAGGUGUAUUUUCAAGGUCUAUGGAAAUUGAAUUUCUAGCUCUGAUCAGAUCUGCUAGGUGACUUGCAAAUUCACACAUUUCAUUGAUAAGUAAUAUAUUUUAUUUAUUUUAUUGAUAAGGCUUCAACUUUACUCCAUGGCCUUCUUUUGCAGAUCAUUUGUUCCCUCAGAUGCUAUGUAAAUAGAACCCAUUAUUUGUGUGUGAAGAACACCUCACUGCUUCUGUUCAAUAUGAUGGCAAUCCUAUUGUCAUGACUCAUGAGAUAUAAUGCAACUUAAUUUUGUUACAUAUAUAAAUUGUAAUGUGAAAAACUAAAUAAAUGAAAUUUUUUUGUAAGCUCAGAGAGACGUUAUUCCUCUUGGAUACAUUUGUCAACCUUAUCAUUCUGUAAGCAUAAAAUGUUAUUUAUAUAACUUUGAGUAAAAAGCAUAUGCUGAUGGGGAUUACUGAAUGAUUACUGCCAUAUGUCAUUAGAUAUUAUGCAGUUUUAUUUAUGCAGAGAAAAGCAAAAUGAGAGAGGAUUGUGUAAAAUUAUCAAAGUUAUGCUUUUCUCAUCACAUUAUGAUGUUUGCUAUAUCCUUCUACUUUGAAUAGGAAGUACAAGCUGAUGGUGAUCCAGAACUUUUGGAUGACUCCGAAUUUUACACGCAAUUACUGAAGGAAUUCUUAGAGACGAAUGACCCAAAAUCAUCUGGUAAAAUUUUUGUUGCAUUUUGA